GGCGUUAGGCUUUGCCGAGGGCCCGUAGUUAAGCCCUCGGCAAAGCACUGCCGGAGGUCCAACUUUAUCGAGGGCCCGCCAGCCUACCCUCGGCAACUCCCCUCUUUGCCGAGGGUCUGGCGUGGGCCCUCGGCAAAUUUUCUUUUUGUUUUUUUGAUCCAUGUUUUUUUCUUUAUGUGGCACACCUACAAGUACAUGCCAAAAUUUGGUUCAUUUUGAAAUAACUUUGGUAUAUUUUUUGGAUUUUUUGAAUUUGUUGAAUUUUUCGACAAAUUUCAAAUUCAAACUACAGGUGCAUUAAAUAAUAUUAUUUAAUUAUUUCAAUCUUGACAUUUUAUGAUUGUUAGUGCAUUUCCAGGCCGUAUGCAGAAAGACACAUGAAAUAUCGAACGUUUACCCCGCGAAACAUGUCGAUCAACUUGCGUGAAAUCGUUUUUUUAAAUAUAUAAAAUGAAAACAAACUCAGAAAAUCACAAAACUUGGCGACAUAACAUGUUAUCACAUGUGAGAUGUUUGGGUUUUAUGCACCAGACGUUACCACAGACUUAGAAUUUUUUGAAAUUUUUAUCAUAGCAUCCACAUGUGAUAACAUGUUAUGUCGCCAAGUUUCGUGAUUUUCUGAGUUUGUUUUCAUUUUAUAUAUUUAAAAAAACGAUUUCACGCAACUUGAUCGACAUGUUUCGCGGGGUAAACGUUCGAUAUUUCAUGUGUCUUUCUGCAUACGGCCUGGAAAUACAAUAACAAUCAUGAAUGUCAAGAUUGAAAUAAUUAAAUAAUAUUAUUUAAUGCACAUGUAGUUUGAAUUUGAAAUUUGUCGAAAAUUCAACAAAUUUAAAAAAAUCCAAAAAAUAUACAAAGUUAUUUCAAAAUGAACCAAACUUUGCCAUGUAGGCAAAGAGUUUCCACGUGGCACC
rnacentral:lncRNA from 1 species